GGCACAAGUGAUGAUCUGCAAAGGGACUUAAUUCUGAAGCCUGAUGUUCAGUAUCAGCUGAUGUGC